rnacentral:tRNA from 1 species
GGAGGGGUCGCAUAGUUGGUCUAGUGCAAAAGUUUACUAAACUUUCGACUCAGUAAUGGGUCCGCGAGUUCGAAUCUCGCCCCCUCCG